CAAACAAAAACGCCAGUAGAAUUGGGGUGUAUUCACUAAAUUGUGAGUUUUAGGGUCAUAUUUUGAGUUUUUUCCUUAGUAAAUCGGUCGAAUUUGCUGUUUAGUGAAUAAGCUCCCAGCGAUAGAAUUCUAGUGAAUGGGAUAAUUAGCAGAGAUUUGCUAACACAGAGAAAACAAGAAGCGAUUUAGAAUUCUAUUAACACUUUGAAGGAGGUAGAAUUAGUAACGCGUAAGGUCACUGCCUGGCAUUCUAUAGG